UGUAGUCAGGUUAAUCAAGGCAAAAGAUGGAGAGAGUAAUUGGAAGGCUGAGAAAAGAUAUAUUUGGGGGGCGGGGGGGGUCAGAGAGGACAUCAUGAUGAUGCUUUUUGCAUGCGCCUCGAUUCUGUUCUACCCUCUCUCUUUAAUUUAUUUAUUUAUUAUUGUUAUGAAAUAGAAGACUCUUACACUUCUAUUUAAGGUGAAUGUCUUUAAUGUAUCUAAU
rnacentral:lncRNA from 1 species